rnacentral:misc_RNA from 1 species
CGCACCUUGCGCCCUGUGGUAUUCCGCAGGGCAUGCCUGUUUGAGUGUCAUGUAACUCCCAACCCCGUGGUUUUGCGACUGCGGAGUGUUGGAUGUGGGCGCUGCGGUGUGAAGCCGCUCGCCUUGAAUGUGUUAGUGGGAUGUGCGAGCCCGAUGGCGUAAUAAGUUUCGCUUGAGGGUGCAGGACGGACCGCUCAUAACGUGGCUGGCGCUUGCUGGCCUCUUCAUGAUCUGACCUCAAAUCAGGUAGGACUACCCGCUGAACUUAA